CAGUGAGGAAGGUGGAUAUGUUAAUAGCAUAUUCAUUUUGACGUUAGCUGCAGAAGAAGCACCGGCUAACUCCGUGCCAGCAGCCGCGGUAAUACGGAGGGUGCGAGCGUUAAUCGGAAUUACUGGGCGUAAAGCGCAUGCAGGUGGUUUGUUAAGUCAGAUGUGAAAGCCCGGGGCUCAACCUCGGAAUUGCAUUUGAAACUGGCAAACUAGAGUACUGUAGAGGGGGUAGAAUUUCAGGUGUAGCGGUGAAAUGCGUAGAGAUCUGAAGGAAUACCGGUGGCGAAGGCGGCCCCCUGGACAGAUACUGACACUCAGAUGCGAAAGCGUGGGGAGCAAACAGGAUUAGAUACCCUGGUAG
rnacentral:rRNA from 1 species